rnacentral:rRNA from 1 species
ACGGGUGAGUAAUAUAUCGGAACGUGCCCUAGAGUGGGGGAUAACUAGUCGAAAGACUAGCUAAUACCGCAUACGAUCUACGGAUGAAAGUGGGGGAUCGCAAGACCUCAUGCUCCUGGAGCGGCCGAUAUCUGAUUAGCUAGUUGGUGGGGUAAAAGCCUACCAAGGCAACGAUCAGUAGCUGGUCUGAGAGGACGACCAGCCACACUGGGACUGAGACACGGCCCAGACUCCUACGGGAGGCAGCAGUGGGGAAUUUUGGACAAUGGGGGCAACCCUGAUCCAGCAAUGCCGCGUGAGUGAAGAAGGCCUUCGGGUUGUAAAGCUCUUUUGUCAGGGAAGAAACGGUAGUAGCGAAUAACUAUUACUAAUGACGGUACCUGAAGAAUAAGCACCGGCUAACUACGUGCCAGCAGCCGCGGUAAUACGUAGGGUGCAAGCGUUAAUCGGAAUUACUGGGCGUAAAGCGUGCGCAGGCGGUUGUGUAAGUCAGAUGUGAAAUCCCCGGGCUCAACCUGGGAAUUGCAUUUGAGACUGCACGGCUAGAGUGUGUCAGAGGGGGGUAGAAUUCCACGUGUAGCAG